AGUAAAAUGCCUGAUUAAAGGGUUAUUUUGAUAGGAUAAAUAAUGUAAUUUUAUUACUUUUACUA
rnacentral:tRNA from 1 species